rnacentral:rRNA from 1 species
UACGAAGGUGGCAAGCGUUGUUCGGAUUUACUGGGCGUACAGGGAGCGUAGGCGGUUGGGUAAGCCCCUCGUGAAAUCUCCGGGCCUAACCCGGAAAGUGCGGAGGGGACUGCUCGGCUAGAGGAUGGGAGAGGAGCGCGGAAUUCCCGGUGUAGCGGUGAAAUGCGUAGAGAUCGGGAGGAAGGCCGGUGGCGAAGGCGGCGCUCUGGAACAUUUCUGACGCUGAGGCUCGAAAGCGUGGGGAGCAAACAGG